rnacentral:rRNA from 1 species
UACGAAGGGGGCUAGCGUUGUUCGGAUUUACUGGGCGUAAAGCGCACGUAGGCGGAUAUUUAAGUCAGGGGUGAAAUCCCGGGGCUCAACCCCGGAACUGCCUCUGAUACUGGGUAUCUGGAGUCCGGAAGAGGUGAGUGGAAUUCCGAGUGUAGAGGUGAAAUUCGUAGAUAUUCGGAAGAACACCAGUGGCGAAGGCGACUCGCUGGACAAGUAUUGACGCUGAGGUGCGAAAGCGUGGGGAGCAAACAGG